UACGUAGGGUGCAAGCGUUAAUCGGAAUUACUGGGCGUAAAGCGUGCGCAGGCGGCUUUGCAAGACAGAUGUGAAAUCCCCGGGCUUAACCUGGGAACUGCAUUUGUGACUGCAUGGCUAGAGUGCGGCAGAGGGGGAUGGAAUUCCGCGUGUAGCAGUGAAAUGCGUAGAUAUGCGGAGGAACACCGAUGGCGAAGGCAAUCCCCUGGGCCUGCACUGACGCUCAUGCACGAAAGCGUGGGGGGCAAACAGG
rnacentral:rRNA from 1 species